GACAGAGGGUGCAAACGUUGCUCGGAAUCACUGGGCGUAAAGGGCGUGUAGGCGGGACGGUAAGUCGGGCGUGAAAUCCCUAGGCUCAACCUAGGAACUGCACUCGAAACUACCAUUCUUGAGUGUCGGAGAGGAAAGCGGAAUUCCUGGUGUAGAGGUGAAAUUCGUAGAUAUCAGGAGGAACACCAGUGGCGAAGGCGGCUUACUGGUCCAUUACUGACGCUGAGGUGCGAAAGCGUGGGGAGCAAACAGG
rnacentral:rRNA from 1 species